rnacentral:rRNA from 1 species
UACGGAGGGUGCAAGCAUUAAUCGGAUUUAUUGGGCGUAAAGGGCGCGUAGGUGGUUUGGCAAGUCAGAUGUGAAAUUCUAGAGCUCAACUUUAGAGCUGCAUCUGAAACUGCGAGACUAGAGGGUAGACGGAGAAAAUGGAAUUCCACGUGUAGCGGUGAAAUGCGUAGAUAUGUGGAGGAACACCGGUGGCGAAAGCGGUUUUCUAGUUUAGACCUGACACUGAGGCGCGAAAGCGAGGGGAU